rnacentral:rRNA from 1 species
UACGGGGGGGGCAAGCGUUGUUCGGAAUUACUGGGCGUAAAGGGUUCGUAGGUGGCCAACUAAGUCAGACGUGAAAUCCCUCAGCUUAACUGGGGAACUGCGUCUGAGACUGGAUGGCUUGAGUGCAGGAGAGGAACGCGGAAUUCCAGGUGUAGCGGUGAAAUGCGUAGAUAUCUGGAGGAACACCGGUGGCGAAGGCGGCGUUCUGGACUGCAACUGACACUGAGGAACGAAAGCGUGGGGAGCAAACAGG